UGGGGAAUAUUGCACAAUGGGCGCAAGGCUGAUGCAGCCAUGCCGCGUGUGUGAAGAAGGCCUUCGGGUUGUAAAGUACUUUCAGUCGGGAGGAAGGUGGUAAGGUUAAUAACCUUAUCAAUUGACGUUACCGACAGAAGAAGCACCGGCUAACUCCGUGCCAGCAGCCGCGGUAAUACGGAGGGUGCAAGCGUUAAUCGGAAUUACUGGGCGUAAAGCGCACGCAGGCGGUUGAUUGAGUCAGAUGUGAAAUCCCCGGGCUUAACCCGGGAAUUGCAUCUGAUACUGGUCAGCUAGAGUCUUGUAGAAGGGGGUAGAAUUCCAUGUGUAGCGGUGAAAUGAGUAGAGAUGUGGAGGAAUACCGGUGGCGAAGGCGGCCCCCUGGACAAAGACUGACGCUCAGGUGCGAAAGCGUGGGGAGCAAACAGG
rnacentral:rRNA from 1 species